GGAGGGUGCAAGCGUUAAUCGGAUUGACUGGGCGUAAAGGGCGCGUAGGCGGUAAGAUAAGUCGAGUGUUAAAAACCCGAGCUCAACUUGGGGAAUGCAUUCGAAACUAUCUCACUAGAGUACAGUAGAGGAGAGCGGAAUUUCCGGUGUAGCGGUGAAAUGCGUAGAUAUCGGAAGGAACACCAGUGGCGAAGGCGGCUCUCUGGACUGAAACUGACGCUGAGGCGCGAAAGCGUGGGGAGCAAACAGGGAUUAGAUACCCUGGUAGUCCACGCUGUAAACGAUGAGAACUAGCUGUUGGCACGUUUAGUGUCAGUAGCGUAGCUAACGCGAUAAGUUCUCCGCCUGGGGAUUACGGUCGCAAGACUA
rnacentral:rRNA from 1 species